rnacentral:lncRNA from 1 species
GGGCCCAGGGCGACAGCGGAGCCUUCACACCGCUUUCUCCGCGCGCUGAUGGAGGAUUCCUGGCCUCACAGCAGUGCCUGGCCUGUGGGCGUCCCCGGCAGUCCUCGGCUGCGGGACCUGUAUCGGGACUGCGCAAAGUGGGCUUCCAGGAGAGCAGGGCGUCCCUCAGUCAGCUGACCCCUUGGAGCGUGGGGCAGCCCAGGCCCGUGAGGCCGCCAGUGUCACCCUCAGGCCCGCGAGGCCCCCGAGCCCCUUGUGGGGUCCAAGGCCCAUUCUGGAUCAGUCACGAGGCAAGACCGCGGACCCUCAGGAGAUCACCAGGAGCCCGCCGCGCAUUCCUCCGCCUCCACCACGCCAGUCACCUGCUCAGCCCGAGGGCAGCCAGCGGCCGUCGCCCCAGUGAGGCGGCCGGUGAGGAGCUGAGGCCGUGACCAGGGCAGCGCCCCGCGAGUCAGCGUCAGUCCCCGCGCCAGCCAGUUCCUCAGACAAUCAGCUCACCAUUCCCAUCGCGUAUGCUGGGAAAUCAUCAAUAUACCCGCUGUCAUGGUGAGUUAGUUUGUCUACUUGAGAAUUUCCUAGAAAUAUACUAAAAAAUUGUGUCUGUAUUCUGUCACUCAGCAAUCAUUUUUUGAAACUGAGCCAAGCUGUUGUAUAUGCCUGUAGUUCACAAUGUGUUAUUGCUAAGUAGUAUUAUCUUUUAUUUACUCACCUAUUGAUAGACGUUUAAGAUUUUCCAGGUUUUUUCUAUAGGUAUCCAAGUAGAAGUCUUUUUAUAGACAUGUUUUUAUACUCAUUUAUACACAAGAUGUGGAAUUUUUAGUUCAAAUAAUACCUGCAUAUUUAAUUUUUGUAGGAAUUGCAGAAUCGUUAUCCAAAUGGCUUUGACUUUUACCACUACUCCCAGCCAUGCACCAGAAUUCCGGUAGCUGUACACCUUUAUUAACACUUGGUAUUGUCAGUCUUUAUAUUUUAACAAUUCUAGUGAGAGCGUAGUGUCAUCUCUAGUGUAUUUUGAAUUUAGGUACCAUCAAUUUCAUCAACUGAGUAUUUCUCAUAUGCAAUUAUUUGAGGUUUGACAGAUGUAUGUAGCUAUAUACCCACAACCACAGUCAAGACACUACCAAGUGCCAUUACUUAAAACAUUCCCUCCUGAUGUUCCUUGGUAGGCAACUGUCCCUCCCUAUUUAAUUCCUGUAAAAACACUAAUCUAUUCUCUACCCUACUGAUAUGCCUUUUAAAGAAUGUCAUAUAAACGGAAUCAUUCAAAAUGUAGCCUUUAAAAUCUGGAUUCAUUCACUUGGUUUAAUGCAUUUGGGGCUCGUCCAUGUGAUGGGGUGUUGUUUUUAAAUUGCUGACUCAUACCUCACUGUUUUCAUAGAUCCCCAUUUUGUAUACAUUUACUGGCUGGUGAACAUUCAUAUUGUUUUUAGGUUUUGGUGACUGUAAAGUAAAACUAGUAUAAAUAUUCACAUGCAGAUUUCUGUGUGUGGACACUAGUUUUUUUAUUUCUCUUGGGUAAAUACCUAGGAGUCGGGUGCUUGGUCAUAUGUGUAAGUUCGAAUUUAUAAGAAAUUGCCAAACUGUUCUCCAAAGUGGGUGUACCAUUUUACAUUCCCACCAGCAGAAUAUAUGAGUUCUGGUUGCUCUACGUUUUCAUUAACAUUUGGUAUUAUCCGGAUUUAAAAAAAAAUUUCUUUGGGUUUUGUUUUGUAGCCAUUCUAAUAGCUCUGCUUGCUGCCAGAAACAAAGGCUGGGAGCCAGCAACAGGAACCAGCCAGGGGAUGAGUUCAGCCCAGACGUGCUGCCUGGACCUGGAUUCCUGCCUCAGUGCAGGCCUUGACCUGAUUUCUUGCUUCAUUACCAUACUAAAAUCUCCACUCAGGGGCGAGAACUAUGCCUUGCUAGGCACAGAAGGUGCCAAGUACAAAAGAAAACACAAGAGUGUGCACACUUCAGCCCCUCCUGAAGGAACCCACCUUUUUCCAGAUCUGCCCGCCUCAGUCUCCAACUACCUGCCCUAAGGGCCCUUAAGAUCCCCUUUUACCAACCCCUGGGAGAAGGUGCUUUGCACAUGAACUCCCUUUCUCCAUUUCUUGAUCAAUGAAUAAAGUUUCUUCUCCGCUUUGCCGAUUCUGGUCUCAUUCUAUUGGCGUAAGUGGCAGGGGGCAGAGAAAGGACCCACUAGGGCCAACUCACCCCUCCAAGGGUGGGUAACAUUUGCAGCAAAACUCCUCAAGAGGUUGUUUGUCGUCACUCUUCCUACCUUCCUUUCUUCGGUUAUUUUCCAAACGAGCUUCCAAUCAAGUCCCCCACCCUUUCACACAUGUUCAUCAAAGCUGCCAUUGCCAGUUAUCUCAGACGUAAACAAAAUCAACUCAAUAUGGAUUAAAGAUGGAAAUGUAAGGCCUGAAACUGUAAAACUCCUUGAAGAAAACAGGAGAAAAAGCUUCUUGACAUUAUCUGGGCUCAGAUUUUUUUAGAUACUGUAAAC